CUGCUCGCUUCAACAGCACAUCUACUAAAAUUGGAAGGAUACAGAGAAGGUUAUCGUGGUUCCUAUGCAAAGAUGACAUGCAAAUUAGAGAUCCAUAAAAUUCUUAU